GGAAUCUUCGGCAAUGGACGAAAGUCUGACCGAGCAACGCCGCGUGAGUGAAGAAGGUUUUCGGAUCGUAAAACUCUGUUGUUAGAGAAGAACAAGUGAGAGAGUUACUGUUCUCACCUUGACGGUAUCUAACCAGAAAGCCACGGCUAACUACGUGCCAGCAGCAGCGGUAAUACGUAGGUGGCAAGCGUUGUCCGGAUUUAUUGGGCGUAAAGCGAGCGCAGGCGGGUUCUUAAGUCUGAUGUGAAAGCCCUCGGCUCAACCGAGGAAGGUCAUUGGAAACUGGGGAACUUGAGUGCAGAAGAGGAGAGUGGAAUUCCAUGUGUAGCGGUGAAAUGCGUAGAUAUAUGGAGGAACACCAGUGGCGAAGGCGACUCUCUGGUAUGUAACUGACGCUGAGGCUCGAAAGCGUGGGGAGC
rnacentral:rRNA from 1 species